UCGUUGGUAGUAAUAUAGAUAAUAUUAAAAAUAUAUAUAUAUUUAAGAAAACUAUUAUCACGCAUGUAAAUAAUGUUUAGCUAGAUAUAAGUAUAGUAUUAUAAGGAAAUAAUAAUAAAAAAAAAAAAAAAAAAAAAAAAAAAAAAAAAAAAAAAAAAAAAAAAAAAAAAAAAAAAAAAAAAAAAAUUUGAUAAAAAAAAAUAUAAUAAGGAAA
rnacentral:misc_RNA from 1 species